rnacentral:rRNA from 1 species
AUCAGGUAGGGACACCCGCUGAACUUAAGCAUAUCAAUAAGCGGAGGAAAAGAAAAUAACAAUGAUUCCCCUAGUAACUGCAAGUGAAGAGGGACAAGCUCAAAUUUUAAAUCUGUUAGGUAUCACCUGGCCGAGUUGUGAUUUGAAGAAGCGUUUUCUGCGUCCUUGGUCAGCCUAAGUCCUAUUGAAUGAGGCAUCAUGGAGGGUGAUAAUCCCGUCCGGUUGAUCAAUGCGUUUUACGAUACGCUCUCAAAGAGUCAAGUUGUUUGGGAUUGCAGCUUAAAAUGGGAGGUAAAUUUCUCCUAAGGCUAAAUAUUGGCGAGAGACCGAUAGCGAACAAGUACCGUGAGGGAAAGAUGAAAAGAACUUUGAAAAGAGAGUAAAAUAGUGCGUGAAAUUGUUGGAAGGGAAACGAUUGAAGUCAGUCGUACCGACGGACAAUCAGCCUUUUGAGUGCGAAUCUGUGGCUCAUGAGGAGGAAACCCUCAUGUUUUGCAUAUUUGUGCUCUUUGGGUGUAUUUGUUCGUAUGGUGGGUUAACAUCAAUUUUGGUCGUCAUAAAAUGACGGGAGGAAAGUAGCUUUGGUCUCGUAUUGAAGUGUUAUAGCCUCUGGUAGAUGUGACGACCGGGAUUGAGGAUUGCAACGGAUACCCUUUUGGGCUACUCGCCUGAUCUCUGAUCGUUACUCUGGUGCCGAAAGCUUGCUUAUGUCAUCAAAGUUGAUGGUCAAAAGGUUAGAACGGGUUAAAUUCGUUAAGGAUGUUGACGUAAUGGCUUUAAACGACCCGUCUUGAAACACGGACCAAGGAGUCUAACAUAUAUGCGAGUGUU